rnacentral:rRNA from 1 species
GAUGAACGCUAGCGGCAGGCCUAAUACAUGCAAGUCGAACGAGAUUGAGGAGCUUGCUCCUCAUGAAAGUGGCGCACGGGUGCGUAACGCGUAUGCAAUCUACCUUAAUCAGGGGGAUAGCCCGGAGAAAUCCGGAUUAAUACCGCAUAACGUUAUUUUAUGGCAUCAUAGAAUAACCAAACAUUUAUGGGAUUAAGAUGAGCAUGCGUGAUAUUAGUUAGUUGGUGAGGUAACGGCUCACCAAGACUACGAUGUCUAGGGGAUCUGAGAGGAUGACCCCCCACACUGGUACUGAGACACGGACCAGACUCCUACGGGAGGCAGCAGUAAGGAAUAUUGGUCAAUGGGCGCAAGCCUGAACCAGCCAUGCCGCGUGCAGGAAGACGGCCCUAUGGGUUGUAAACUGCUUUUAUUCGGGAAUAAACCUCUUUACGUGUAAGGAGCUGAAUGUACCGAAGGAAUAAGGAUCGGCUAACUCCGUGCCAGCA